CGCCUUACUGGUCGGCUAAAAAUACACGGCAGCGGUAAGGGGAUACCGGUUUCUGUGGGGGCAGAGUUGAGACAACCGGCACGCGGGCGACGAUAGCGCGUGACUCGAAUGACUGUCUGAA
rnacentral:ncRNA from 1 species